rnacentral:rRNA from 1 species
UGGGGAAUUUUGCACAAUGGAGGAAACUCUGAUGCAGCGACGCCGCGUGAGUGAUGAAGAUCUUCGGAUUGUAAAACUCUGUCCUUAGUGAAGAUAAUGACAGUAACUAAGAAGCAAGCCCUGGCUAAAUACGUGCCAGCAGCCGCGGUAAUACGUAGGGGGCGAGCGUUGUCCGGAAUUACUGGGCGUAAAGGGUUCGCAGGCGGCAUGGCAAGUCCGAUGUAAAAGGCGAAGGCUCAACCUUCGUAAGCAUCGGAAACUGUCAAGCUUGAGUGAAGGAGAGGCAAGUGGAGUUCCUAGUGUAGCGGUGGAAUGCGUAGAUAUUAGGAGGAAUACCGGUGGCGAAGGCGACUUGCUGGACUUCAACUGACGCUGAGGAACGAAAGCGUGGGUAGCAAACAGG